UUAAUUAUACAGUAUUAAUUUUCAAUUUAUUAAUUAUUAAUAUUCAAUCAAACAUAACGUAAGGCCAUUCUGGCAUAACAAAUGUGCAAGAGUGCCCAAGAGAUAAAUGCAGAAUUUUUAACAUUUAAAAAAGGUAUCAUUUGGAUUUAUUCUGAAUACAUUAAAGGGACACUAUAGUCACACAGACCACUUCAGCUCAAUGAAGUGGUCUGGGUGCCAGG